UACGGAGGGGGCUAGCGUUGUUCGGAAUUACUGGGCGUAAAGCGCGCGUAGGCGGCUUUGUAAGUUAGAGGUGAAAGCCCGGAGCUCAACUCCGGGAAUUGCCUUUAAGACUGCAUCGCUAGAAUCAUGGAGAGGUGAGUGGAAUUCCGAGUGUAGAGGUGAAAUUCGUAGAUAUUCGGAAGAACACCAGUGGCGAAGGCGACUCACUGGACAUGUAUUGACGCUGAGGUGCGAAAGCGUGGGGAGCAAACAGG
rnacentral:rRNA from 1 species